CAGCAGCCGCGGUAAUACGGAGGAUCCAAGCGUUAUCCGGAAUUAUUGGGUUUAAAGGGUCCGUAGGCGGUCUUGUAAGUCAGUGGUGAAAGCCCAUCGCUCAACGGUGGAACGGCCAUUGAUACUGCAGGACUUGAAUUAUUGGGAAGUAACUAGAAUAUGUAGUGUAGCGGUGAAAUGCUUAGAGAUUACAUGGAAUACCAAUUGCGAAGGCAGGUUACUACCAAUUGAUUGACGCUGAUGGACGAAAGCGUGGGUAGCGAACAGGAUUAGAUACCCCCGUAGUCCCUGUCUCUUAUAC
rnacentral:rRNA from 1 species